AGGAAGCUGCCAUUCAUUCGACAUAAGUAGGUGCUUCAUCUGAUAAGCACUACUUGUGUAAUUUAUCAAUGACAGAGAAGGCAGAUAGCAACAUGCAUACUUGGGGCUGCAUUUGAAGGAGAGCAACAUCCCUUUGUUUUCACAGAGGGGAGAACAAGCAUGAGUUGAGAUUGUGGUGCUUCUUGAAGUCUCAUCCAGAUCAGAAACCUGCUGCAAUAAAUGCAGGAGGGCAGGAGGCAUUGGGAACA
rnacentral:lncRNA from 1 species